rnacentral:rRNA from 1 species
UACGAAGGGGGCAAGCGUUACUCGGAAUUACUGGGCGUAAAGGGUGCGUAGGUGGGUCUUUAAGUCUGCUGUGAAAGCCCCGGGCUCAACCUGGGAAUGGCAGUGGAUACUGGAGAGCUAGAGUGCGGUAGAGGGUAGUGGAAUUCCUGGUGUAGCGGUGAAAUGCGCAGAUAUCAGGAGGAACACCGGUGGCGAAGGCGGGUCUCUGGGCCGAUACUGACGCUGAGGAGCGAAAGCGUGGGGAGCGAACAGG